rnacentral:rRNA from 1 species
UACGGAGGGUGCAAGCGUUAUCCGGAUUCACUGGGUUUAAAGGGUGCGUAGGCGGGCCGGUAAGUCCGUGGUGAAAUCUCUGAGCUUAACUCAGAAACUGCCAUGGAUACUAUUUGUCUUGAAUAUUGUGGAGGUAAGCGGAAUAUGUCAUGUAGCGGUGAAAUGCUUAGAUAUGACAUAGAACACCAAUUGCGAAGGCAGCUUACUACACAGUUAUUGACGCUGAGGCACGAAAGCGUGGGGAGCAAACAGG